rnacentral:rRNA from 1 species
UACGUAGGGUGCAAGCGUUGUCCGGAAUUAUUGGGCGUAAAGAGCGCGUAGGCGGUCCGGUAAGUCGGCUGUGAAAGUCAAGGGCUCAACCCUUGAAAGCCGGCCGAUACUGUCGGACUAGAGUCCGGAAGAGGCGAGUGGAAUUCCCGGUGUAGCGGUGAAAAUGCGCAGAUAUCGAGAGGAACACCUGCGGCGAAGGCGGGUUGCUGGGCUGAUACUGACGCUGAGGCGCGAAAGCUAGGGGAGCGAACGGG